GUGAGUCAUCGAAUCUUUGAACGCACAUUGCGCCCGCCAGUAUUCUGGCGGGCAUGCCUGUUCGAGCGUCAUUUCAACCAUCAAGCCCCAGGCUUGUGUUGGGGACCUGCGGCUGCCGCAGGCCCUGAAAACCAGUGGCGGGCUCGCUAGUCACUCCGAGCGUAGUAGUUUACACCUCGCUCAGGGCGUGCUGCGGGUUCCGGCCGUUAAAAGCCUUAUUUUACCCAAGGUUGACCUCGGAUCAGGUAGGAAGACCCGCUGAACUUAAGCAUAUCAAUAAGCGGAGGA
rnacentral:misc_RNA from 1 species